UACGUAGGGGGCUAGCGUUGUCCGGAAUCAUUGGGCGUAAAGCGCGUGUAGGCGGUUCGGUAAGUCCGCUGUGAAAGUCGGGGGCUCAACCCUCGGAUGCCGGUGGAUACUGUCGGACUAGAGUACGGAAGAGGCGAGUGGAAUUCCUGGUGUAGCGGUGAAAUGCGCAGAUAUCAGGAGGAACACCGGUGGCGAAGGCGGGUCUCUGGGCCGAUACUGACGCUGAGGCACGAAAGCGUGGGGAGCAAACAGG
rnacentral:rRNA from 1 species